UUACGGCCAUAUCACAAUGAAACAUUGGUUCUCGUACGAUCACCGAAGUUAAGCAAUGUCGAGCCUGGUUAGUACCCAGAUGGGUGACUGCUUGGGAAUACCAGGUGCUGUAAG